rnacentral:lncRNA from 1 species
ACUGCUGUGCUAGCAAUCAGCGAGACUCCGUGGGCGUAGGACCCUCCGAGCCAGCUGGGUGCGGUGGCUCAGGACUGUAAUUCCAGCUACAUGAGAGGAUUGCCUGAGGCCAGGAGUUUGAGACCAGCCUGAACAACAUAAUAGACUGGGAGCUCCAUGAGGUCCGAGACAACCUGAAGACGCCCAGCUCAGCAGAGACUGGCUACGGCAAUCACUCAGUAACUAUUUGUUGAAUUGGACAUAAUAGAAGAGCUGAAGAAUUUUAAACAAGUCACCAUCAGUGCAGUGGAUUCCUCAAAGCAAACCUGGAAAUCUCGGCAUGAGUUGGAUUUAAGGCAGUACAUUUUCAGCUCCUGAAAAUUUGAACAGUUUCUCAAGAGAACAACUUGAAACAGAAAGGCAAGGAUGUAGAUGUGGUUGUAGAAGAUGAUGUCUGCGGCCACCAAACUGUCCACUGUGAAGACAAACCAUGCAUGUUUAGUAGGCAGUGGCUCCUCUUCCCUGUGGGGAGUCCCACUGCUUCCCUGGCCUGGGUGUUCUCUGCCGGUAGAUGUUAUUGACAAAAUAAGCAAAGUCCUCUGAUUCUGAGAAUUAGAGUUAAUGAUAGCUCUAGAUUGCCUCUGCCAUGCUAUUUAAAGUCCUGCUUUAUUGUCUGACAUGAGUUCGGCAUCUAUGAGGACUUGUCCAGUGCAAAGUACAAUCUCCACUGAAAGAUAUCACCAGCACAUCUUGUCACUGUGCUGUAGCAAGCUGGGCAGUACAAUGAUGUUGGCAGGAUCCUGUUUAGGUGGAGGAUGGCCACCUGGGCAUCAAGAAUCUUCUACCCUGAUUCCACAUUGACUCCCCAAAGUGGGCUUCAGACAGCUCUUUACUUACGUCUUCUGAUUAAAGCAGCAGACAGGGUCCCAGCUAGAGAAAAGUUCUGGGAGCAGGAGAGGUGUUGGUGGCUUUAAAACCAGGGGUGAAGAUUGAAUUAGGAGGUUAGGCAGGAGUAGGAUCAAAGACUUAGAAAAUGCUUGUUUCCUCCUAUUAUUCUUAUGAGAGCUGAUACGGGGCUUUCAGUUUUGGGGGAGAGCCUUGGAAGAGAAUGAGGGAAUUUAAUCAACUAGCGGGACCUUUCCAACUUACAUUUCCCAGUGUUUGUUGGAUGAUACGUUUGCCUAAUAAGUUAAAGCUUCCAAAAAUAGAAAGGAAAGCUUGGUGACACUAAGCUCUGGCAUGCUGUCAUCUUCUGGCUAGGGGUCUUGUGCUUCUGUUUUUCUAUUUCUGACCAAAGACAUAAAAUGUGUUGUGACCUCUCAGGUAAUGCUGUGGUAUCAUGUCCAAGCAGUAACUAACCAGAGUGGAGUUUUUACAGGUAAAAAAGUAUUGAAUAGCUCAGCAACAGGGAGGACUUAAUGAUAAAUUGCUUUUUCAGAAAAUGACAAGGGGACAGACACUUGCGGUUCUUCCAUUGAGAGCCUUAAGGAAGUUAAGCGAAGCCUCUGCUCACCCCUUCAAGUAACGAUGACCCAUCAGAUCGUGGUCAUAACCAGUAGCAUCUGAGGCACCCCUAAGCUCUCUGGGCCCCAGAUUCCUUGUUAAGUUAAAUGAGGUGACUUCCCAGUUUACCAUUCUAGGGGUUCCUGAGGAGUUAAAAAUGAAGGAGAAAAUGCAACAUGUACCAAGUGAGCAAGAGCUCAAGGCUUAUCUCUGGCACGAAAGUGACCGCUGUCCGUUAGAGAUGUGAUUGCCCUAGAUUUCCUUUAGGAAAUGCAAACAUUGAACUCUGGCCUUCAGGACCCAAGUCCCGGCUUGCAUCUAUUCUAUACACUUUCUGUUAUUUGUUAGGGCUCACAAGGAACAGUUAUUUAUCUUUUAUUUUCUAUUUUUUUUUUAGAGAUGGAGUCUCACUCUGUCUCCCAGGCUGGAGUGCAGUGGUGCCAUCUCAGCUCACUGCAACCUCCACCUCCCGGGUUCAAGCAAUUCUCCUGUCUCAGCCUCCUGAGUAGCUGGGACUACAGGCGUGUGCCAUCAUGCCCGGCUAAUUUUUAGUAUUUUUAGUAGAGGCAGGGUUUCACCAUAUUGGCCAGGCUGGUCUUGAACUCCUG